rnacentral:rRNA from 1 species
UACGAAGGGGGCUAGCGUUGCUCGGAAUCACUGGGCGUAAAGGGUGCGUAGGCGGGUUUUUAAGUCAGGGGUGAAAUCCUGGAGCUCAACCUCCAGAACUGCCUUUGAUACUGAAGAUCUUGAGUCCGGGAGAGGUGAGUGGAACUGCGAGUGUAGAGGUGAAAUUCGUAGAUAUUCGCAAGAACACCAGUGGCGAAGGCGGCUCACUGGCCCGGUACUGACGCUGAGGCACGAAAGCGUGGGGAGCAAACA